CAAGGCUGAGGUGUGAUGACGAGGCACUACGGUGCUGAAGUAACAAAUGCCCUGCUUCCAGGAAAAGCCUCUAAGCAUCAGGUAACAUCAAAUCGUACCCCAAACCGACACAGGUGGUCAGGUAGAGAAUACCAAGGCGCUUGAGAGAACUCGGGUGAAGGAACUAGGCAAAAUGGUGCCGUAACUUCGGGAGAAGGCACGCUGGUGUGUAGGUGAAGCCCCUGCGGGUGGAGCUGAGACCAGUCGAAGAUACCAGCUGGCUGCAACUGUUUAUUAAAAACACAGCACUGUGCAAACACGAAAGUGGACGUAUACGGUGUGACGCCUGCCCGGUGCCGGAAGGUUAAUUGAUGGGGUUAUCCGUAAGGAGAAGCUCUUGAUCGAAGCCCCGGUAAACGGCGGCCGUAACUAUAACGGUCCUAAGGUAGCGAAAUUCCUUGUCGGGUAAGUUCCGACCUGCACGAAUGGCGUAAUGAUGGCCAGGCUGUCUCCACCCGAGACUCAGUGAAAUUGAACUCGCUGUGAAGAUGCAGUGUACCCGCGGCAAGACGGAAAGACCCCGUGAACCUUUACUAUAGCUUGACACUGAACAUUGAGCCUUGAUGUGUAGGAUAGGUGGGAGGCUUUGAAGCGUGGACGCCAGUCUGCGUGGAGCCAACCUUGAAAUACCACCCUUUAAUGUUUGAUGUUCUAACGUUGGCCCCUUACCGGGGUUGCGGACAGUGUCUGGUGGGUAGUUUGACUGGGGCGGUCUCCUCCCAAAGCGUAACGGAGGAGCACGAAGGUUAGCUAAUCCUGGUCGGACAUCAGGAGGUUAGUGCAAUGGCAUAAGCUAGCUUGACUGCGAGCGUGACGGCGCGAGCAGGUGCGAAAGCAGGUCAUAGUGAUCCGGUGGUUCUGAAUGGAAGGGCCAUCGCUCAACGGAUAAAAGGUACUCCGGGGAUAACAGGCUGAUACCGCCCAAGAGUUCAUAUCGACGGCGGUGUUUGGCACCUCGAUGUCGGCUCAUCACAUCCUGGGGCUGAAGUAGGUCCCAAGGGUAUGGCUGUUCGCCAUUUAAAGUGGUACGCGAGCUGGGUUUAGAACGUCGUGAGACAGUUCGGUCCCUAUCUGCCGUGGGCGCUGGAGAAUUGAGGGGGGCUGCUCCUAGUACGAGAGGACCGGAGUGGACGCAUCACUGGUGUUCGGGUUGUCAUGCCAAUGGCACUGCCCGGUAGCUAAAUGCGGAAGAGAUAAGUGCUGAAAGCAUCUAAGCACGAAACUUGCCCCGAGAUGAGUUCUCCCUGAGACUUUAAGUCUCCUGAAGGAACGUUGAAGACGACGACGUUGAUAGGCCGGGUGUGUAAGCGCAGCGAUGCGUUGAGCUAACCGGUACUAAUGAACCGUGAGGCUUAACCUU
rnacentral:rRNA from 2 species